GAUGAAGAACGCAGCGAAAUGCGAUAAGUAAUGUGAAUUGCAGAAUUCAGUGAAUCAUCGAAUCUUUGAACGCACAUUGCGCCCGCCAGUAUUCUGGCGGGCAUGCCUGUUCGAGCGUCAUUUCAACCAUCAUGCCCCCGGCUUGUGUUGGGGACCUGCGGCUGCCGCAGGCCCUGAAAAGCAGUGGCGGGCUCGCUGUCACACCGAGCGUAGUAGCAUACAUCUCGCUCUGGGCGUGCUGCGGGUUACGGCCGUUAAACCACCUUCAUAACCCAAGGUUGACCUCGGAUCAGGUAGGAAGACCCGCUGAACUUAAGCAUAUCAAUAAGCGGAGGA
rnacentral:misc_RNA from 1 species